AUUGAACGCUAGCGGCAUGCCUUACACAUGCAAGUCGAACGAGUGGCGGACGGGUGAGUAAUAUCUGGGAACGUGCCCAGUAGCGGGGGAUAACUACUCGAAAGAGUGGCUAAUACCGCAUACCAUCGGAGCGGCCCAUAUCGGAUUAGCUAGUUGGUGGGGUAACGGCUCACCAAGGCAACGAUCCGUAGCUGGUUUGAGAGGACGACCAGCCACACUGGGACUGAGACACGGCCCAGACUCCUACGGGAGGCAGCAGUGGGGAAUUUUGGACAAUGGGGGAAACCCUGAUCCAGCCAUGCCGCGUGUAUGAGAAGGCCUUCGGGUUGUAAAGUACUUUUGGCAGAGAAGCGGUAUCUGCAGAAUAAGCACCGGCUAACUACGUGCCAGCAGCCGCGGUAAUUC
rnacentral:rRNA from 1 species